rnacentral:rRNA from 1 species
UUUGAUUUGAAAGGCGCUUUCGGGUGUCGCUGAUGGAUGGACCCGCGGUGCAUUAGCUAGUUGGUGAGGUAACGGCUCACCAAGGCCACGAUGCAUAGCCGACCUGAGAGGGUGAUCGGCCACAUUGGGACUGAGACACGGCCCAAACUCCUACGGGAGGCAGCAGUAGGGAAUCUUCGGCAAUGGACGAAAGUCUGACCGAGCAACGCCGCGUGAGUGAAGAAGGUUUUCGGAUCGUAAAACUCUGUUGUUAGAGAAGAACAAGGAUGAGAGUAACUGUUCAUCCCUUGACGGUAUCUAACCAGAAAGCCACGGCUAACUACGUGCCAGCAGCCGCGGUAAUACGUAGGUGGCAAGCGUUGUCCGGAUUUAUUGGGCGUAAAGCGAGCGCAGGCGGUUUCUUAAGUCUGAUGUGAAAGCCCCCGGCUCAACCGGGGAGGGUCAUUGGAAACUGGGAGACUUGAGUGCAGAAGAGGAGAGUGGAAUUCCAUGUGUAGCGGUGAAAUGCGUAGAUAUAUGGAGGAACACCAGUGGCGAAGGCGGCUCUCUGGUCUGUAACUGACGCUGAGGCUCGAAAGCGUGGGGAGCAAACAGGAUUAGAUACCCUGGUAGUCCACGCCGUAAACGAUGAGUGCUAAGUGUUGGAGGGUUUCCGCCCUUCAGUGCUGCAGCUAACGCAUUAAGCACUCCGCCUGGGGAGUACGACCGCAAGGUUGAAACUCAAAGGAAUUGACGGGGGCCCGCACAAGCGGUGGAGCAUGUGGUUUAAUUCGAAGCAACGCGAAGAACCUUACCAGGUCUUGACAUCCUUUGACCACUCUAGAGAUAGAGCUUCCC